GUGCCAGCCGCCGCGGUAAUACGGAGGGUCCGAGCGUUAUCCGGAAUCAUUGGGUUUAAAGGGUCCGUAGGCGGGCCGUUAAGUCAGGGGUGAAAGUCUGCGGCUCAACCGUAGAAUUGCCUUUGAUACUGGCGGUCUUGAGUCAUGGUGGGGUUGCCGGAACAUGUGGUGUAGCGGUGAAAUGCAUAGAUAUCACAUAGAACACCGAUCGCGAAGGCAGGUGACCAACCAUGUACUGACGCUGAUGGACGAAAGCGUGGGUAGCGAACGGGAUUAGAUACCCCGGUAGUCC
rnacentral:rRNA from 1 species